GAACUUUCCAGAGAUGGAUUGGUGCCUUCGGGAACUUAGAUACAGGUGCUGCAUGGCUGUCGUCAGCUCGUGUCGUGAGAUGUUGGGUUAAGUCCCGNAACGAGCGCAACCCUUUUCCUUAUUUGCCAGCGGGUCAUGCCGGGAACUUUUAAGGAUACUGCCAGUGACAAACUGGAGAAGGCGGGGACGACGUCAAGUCAUCAUGGCCCUUACGGCCAGGGCUACACACGUGCUACAAUGGUCGGUACAAAGGGUUGCUACCUCGCGAGAGGAUGCUAAUCUCAAAAAGCCGAUCGUAGUCCGGAUCGCAGUCUGCAACUCGACUGCGUGAAGUCGGAAUCGCUAGUAAUCGCGGAUCAGAAUGCCGCGGUGAAUACGUUCCCGGGCCUUGUACACACCGCCCGUCACACCAUGGGAGUUUGUUGCACCAGAAGUAGGUAGUCUAACCGCAAGGAGGACGCUUACCACGGUGUGGCCGAUGACUGGGGUGAAGUCGUAACAAGGUAAGCGUAGAUGA
rnacentral:rRNA from 1 species